UCAGGAACGGUUUUUAAAGGCCCUUCGUCUGGCGUUACUGUAACUCCAGACGAAGGGCCUUCGCUCGAAACGUCGAAAUUCUCCUUAUAUUUUUCAGGUAGUGCAUCCCUUCCAAGGAAAGCUAUUAUUGGCACUAUAUACCCACACUGGCACAGACAGUUCAAUGAUCACAUGUACCUUCUUAAAAACAUUCAUCAUUCAUGAAGUAAUUCGUCUGCAUAUUGGUCAUGUUUUUUCUCUGACACUGAUUUGUAUUAUACUAUAUACAUAGUAUAAAUAAAGUUUACACUGUUUUUACAACUCUAACAAGUUAACCAUAAUGUGCUCUGUUGGUCAUGAUAAACAAUUAAUGGAAUCGUGCAAUAUUUAAGCCAAUUGAAUAUUAGAGCAAGAUAUGUAUAAUUAUAUAUAAAUAAUUAAGAAUCUACUAAGAAUUUAUGUAUAUAACUUGUCUAAAUUUAUUUUUACAAUUAAUAUACUAUGAAUAUUUCUCAAUUCUAUAGGACAGGGUUAUGUUCCAAAUAUCAAUUCAUUUACUGCUGAAAGUGGCUAAAUUGUAAAUCGAACUUGAGAGUCAGCAAACUUGCCCAGGACAGGGACUAGCUAAAUUCACGCCCAGGGCAGGGACUAAAGUUAGUACGAGGUAGUCUGUUUUAUGGGAAUUGUUACAGUUAAAUUCUUGCAUGUAAGUAUGAGUAUUCCCCGGUAUUAAAGUGAACUUUAAAACCAAAACUAGAUAAACGGAACGCCGUAAAUGUUUUUGUUAUAUAGUUAGUGUCAAAAUUCAAUUUUUCUGUUUGCUGAUUGGUCAAAACCGUGUCACGUGCCAGUCCACAAAACGUCAUGUUCGGCAACCGGUCCGCAAUGAAACAUUGACUGGUCAAUAAUAAAAUGGGUGCAAUACGCAUGCGUGUCAACCAUGAAGUUCCAAAGUUCAUUUUUUAAACUUUUUACUAAACAUUUACGGCGUUCCAUUUAUCCAGUUUUGGUUUCAAAUUAAGUUCACUCCAAUAACCGGUGAAUUAUUCAUACUUUGACACUUAUGUACUAUAUAACAAAACACUUAUUUACUGAGACCUCGGGAAAGCAGUGUGUUUUGUGGCCCCGGCGGUCUCGGCUCCACAAAACACACUGUUUCCCUGCCCCCAUUUUCCCUGCUCCCAGUCUGCCCCCAUUCUAUUGUUGACCGGUCAAUAAAUGUUCUAUUAUGGACUGGUUGCCUCGUUGCCAGGGCAAUGCAAUAAACACGACGUUUUGCGGACCGGCACGUGAUACGCUUUUGUCCAAUCGGAAAACAGAAAAAUGAACUUUGACACUAAUUAUAUAACAAU